rnacentral:rRNA from 1 species
AACGAACGCUGGCGGCGCGCCUAACACAUGCAAGUCGAACGCGAAAGGGGGCAACCCUGAGUAAAGUGGCGCACGGGUGAGUAAUACCUAGGUAAUCUACCUUAUUGACCGGAAUAACCAGUCGAAAGAUUGGCUAAUACUGGAUAGAGCGAUUAAGCGAGAGUUUAGUUGGGAAAGGGUGGCUUGGGCAACCAAGCUAUUGCGAUGAGAUGAGCCCACGUCCGAUUAGCUAGUUGGUAGGGUAAAGGCCUACCAAGGCCACGACCGGUAGCUGGUCUGAGAGGAUGAUCAGCCACACUGGGACUGAGACACGGCCCAGACUCCUACGGGAGGCAGCAGUGGGGGAAUAUUGGACAAUGGGCGCAAGCCUGAUCCAGCAAUGCCGCGUGUGUGAAGAAGGCCUGCGGGUUGUAAAGCACUUUCAGUGGGGAGACAGGUUCGGUCAAUACCCCGGAGCCCUGACGUUACCCACAGAAGAAGCACCGGCUAACUCCGUGCCAGCA